rnacentral:rRNA from 1 species
CACGUAGGGUGCGAGCGUUGUCCGGAAUUAUUGGGCGUAAAGAGCUCGUAGGCGGUUCGGUAAGUCGGGUGUGAAACCUCCAGGCUCAACCUGGAGACGCCACCCGAUACUGCUGUGACUCGAGUCCGGUAGGGGAGCGUGGAAUUCCUGGUGUAGCGGUGAAAUGCGCAGAUAUCAGGAGGAACACCAGCGGCGAAGGCGGCGCUCUGGGCCGGUACUGACGCUGAGGAGCGAAAGCGUGGGUAGCAAACAGG